CCUACGGGCGGCAGCAGUGGGGAAUUUUGCGCAAUGCUCGUAAGAGUGACGCAGCGACGCCGCGUGAAUGACGAAGGCCCUCGGGUCGUAAAGUUCUUUCGACAGGGAAGAAAAUGCCUAUAAGUAACUGUGUAUGUAUUGACGGUAGCUGUAUAAGCAGCUCCGGCUUACUCCGUGCCAGCAGCCGCGGUAAGACGGAGGGGGCGAGCGUUGUUCGGAGUGACUGGGCGUAAAGAGCACGUAGGCGGGGUUGUAAGCCAUUAGUCAAAGACUAGAGCCCAACUUUCGUCAAGCUAGUGAUACUAUAAUACUAGAGUGUGAGAGAGGAAUGCAGAAUUCCUGGUGUAGCGGUGAAAUGCGUAGAUAUCAGGAGGAAUACCGUUAGCGAAGGCGGCAUUCUGGCUGGAAACUGACGCUGAGGUGCGAAAGCGUGGGUAGCAAACAGGAUUAGAUACCCGGGUAGUC
rnacentral:rRNA from 1 species